CGGAAUCUCACGUGCCUGGGCUCAUACUUGAGAUCUGGAUUCAGUAAUUUUCAGUGGGGAGCCCAGAAAUCUGAUUUUUAAACAGACAUUCCAGUUUUAAAAAGCCUAUCAAGUGAGCCAGCCCUGACGGCCUGGUGCUUCAAGUUUGGCCUGCUCCGCGUUGGCGGCCUGGGCUCGGUGUCCGGGUGCAGAACCACACCACUUGUCUGUUGGUAGCUGUGCUGUGGCAGUGACUUGCAUGGAGGAACUAGAAGAAUUUACAACUACGUGCUGUGAUCCAGCGGUGGUGGGGAAGAGGAAGAAGAUUGGCAACAGAUGUUGGCUUGGAGCAAAUCUUCCCCUGCAAAAACAAAAAAUGAAAAACAAACCUGUUAAGUGAUGGGGCAUUCUAGCCUUCUUGGUCUUUUUACUUCAAAAAAAUUUUUUAAACAGUUUUAUUGAGAUAUAAUUCAUAUACCAUAUAAUCCACCCAUUUAAAGUAGUCAAUUCACUGUUUGUUGAUAUAUUUACAAAUAUGUGCAACCUUCACUACAAUCAGUUUUGGAACAUUUUCAUCACCUCAUGGAGAAACCCACUCCCCUUAGUCGUCAUCCCCUCAUCUCCCUAUCCCUUACAUAGCUCUACACAACUACUAAUCUACUUUCUAUCUCUGUAGAGUUCUCUGCUUUGGACAUUUUGUAUGACUGGAGCCAUAUAAUAUGUGGUCUUUUGUCUCUGUCUUCUUUGACUUAGCAUAACAUUUUCAAGGUUUAUCUGUGUCGUGGCAUGUAUCAAUACCUCAUUCCUUUUUAUGGUUGCAUAAUAUUCCAUUGUAUGGAUAUACCACAUUUUGUUUUUCCAUCCAUCAGUUGACGGAUGUUUGGGUUUUCCACCUUUUGGCUAUUAUGAAUAAUGUUGCUGUAAACAUUCUUGUACAAGUUUUUGUGAGGGCAUAUGUUGUCAUUUCUCUUGGGUGUAUAUCAAAGAGUAAAAUUGCUGGGUCCCAUGGUAACUCCAUGUUCAGUCAUCUGAGGAAUGCCAGACUGCUUUCCACAUGACUGCCCCCUUUCAUGUCCCUGACAGCCGGGUAUGAGCAUUCUUAUUGCUCCACAUCCUUCCCAAAACUUGUUAUUUUCCAUUAAAAAAAUUAUCAUAGCCUUCCAGGUCUCUCACUGUGGUUUUAAUUUGCAUUUUCCUAAUGAUUCAUGAGGUUGGGCAUCUUUUCAUGUGCUUAUUGGCCAUUUGUCUAUUUUCCUUGUAGAAACGUCUAUGGUUCUUUAUUUUUAAUAUUCGAUUCUCCUUAAGCUUCAUCUGUAAGAUGAUGUUGUGACGCCUAGUUGUGAACAGGAUUAAAUGAAAUGGUGCGUAUAAACAUUUAGCUUGUGUCUGG
rnacentral:lncRNA from 1 species